UGUGUAGGCGGCUGCGCAAGUCGGAUGUGAAAGCCCCGGGCUCAACCCGGGAAGUGCACCCGAAACUGCGUAGCUCGAGUACCGGAGAGGUUGGUGGAAUUCUGGUGUAGAGGUGAAAUUCGUAGAUAUCGAGAGGAACACCGGUGGCGAAGGCGGCCAACUGGACGAGUACUGACGCUGAGACACGAAAGCGUGGGGAGCAAACAGGAUUAGAUACCCUGGUAGUCCACGCCGUAAACGAUGGGUGCUAGGUGUCACGGGCUUUGACUCCUGUGGUGCCGUAGCCAACGCAUUAAGCACCCCGCCUGGGAAGUACGGCCGCAAGGCUAAA
rnacentral:rRNA from 1 species